CACACACAUCCCUGCCUAUUGUGACGAACUUUCUCCCCCACAGACAAGUGCAUCGAUGACCAGUGAGCACGUGGUGCCUCCUCUUCCUCCUUCCCGUUGCCUUCAUCUCCGCCUCCACCCAAGGUGCCACCCAGCUGCCCCCACGAGCCGGACGCCAUGAGAGCCAGGGUCCUCACACAGUGCGGCCCAUUGCUGCUCCCAGGCCACCUGCUGAUGGAGUUGUUCCUUGACUGCUAAAUAAACACAUGCCCCAGCC